GACGAACGCUGGCGGCGUGCUUAACACAUGCAAGUCGAACGGUGAUGCUCCAGCUUGCUGGCGUGGAUCAGUGGCGAACGGGUGAGUAACACGUGAGCAACCUGCCCCAGACUCUGGAAUAAGCGCUGGAAACGGCGUCUAAUACUGGAUACGAAACUGGCCCGCAUGGGCAUGGUUUGGAAAGUUUUUCGGUUUGGGAUGGGCUCGCGGCCUAUCAGCUUGUUGGUGAGGUAAUGGCUCACCAAGGCGACGACGGGUAGCCGGCCGGAGAGGGCGACCGGCCACACUGGGACUGAGACACGGCCCAGACUCCUACGGGAGGCAGCAGUGGGGAAUAUUGCACAAUGGGCGAAAGCCUGAUGCAGCGACGCCGCGUGAGGGAUGACGGCCUUCGGGUUGUAAACCUCUUUCAGCAGGGAAGAAGCGAAAGUGACGGUACCUGCAGAAGAAGCACCGGCUAACUACGUG
rnacentral:rRNA from 1 species